rnacentral:tRNA from 1 species
CCCCUUGUGGCGAAAUGGCAUACGCAGCGCACUCAAAAUGCGCCGCCCGCACGGGCAUGUGAGUUCGACUCUCACCGAGGGGACCA